ensembl:snRNA U1 U1 spliceosomal RNA
ACAUGUCCCUGGCAGGGGUGAUGCCAUGAUCAGGAAGGUGUUUUUCCCAGGACAAGGACCAUCCAUUGCACUUGGGGUGUGCUCACUUCUGCAGUUUCCCCAAAUGGGGGAAACUCAAUUGUGUAAUUUGUGGUAGUGGGGGCUUUGUUUGCGUUCUCCCAUU